ACAGGGCGCCAACAAUUCUGUGCUCUCAAACAGCGAGUCAGAUGAUCUUAAAUAGACUUACUGCAUAUUUAAAGUGAAGCAGUGUGUUCGUGUAUUAAAAAAGA